rnacentral:rRNA from 1 species
CCUACGGGAGGCAGCAGUGGGGAAUAUUGGGCAAUGGGCGCAAGCCUGACCCAGCAACGCCGCGUGAAGGCAGAAGGCUUUCGGGUUGUAAACUUCUUUUCUCAGGGACGAAGCAAGUGACGGUACCUGAGGAAUAAGCCACGACUAACUACGUGCCAGCAGCCGCGGUAAUACGUAGGUGGCAAGCGUUAUCCGGAUUUACUGGGUGUAAAGGGCGUGUAGGCGGGAAAGCAAGUCAGAUGUGAAAACCAUGGGCUCAACCUGUGGCCUGCAUUUGAAACUGUUUUUCUUGAGUACUGGAGAGGCAGACGGAAUUCCUAGUGUAGCGGUGAAAUGCGUAGAGAUUAGGAGGAACACCAGUGGCGAAGGCGGUCUGCUGGACAGCAACUGACGCUGAGGAGCGAAAGCGUGGGUAGCAAACAGGAUUAGAUACCCGGGUAGUC